GUCAAUAUGUCCGAGUGGUUAAGGAGACGUACUUGAAAUCUGUUGGGAACCGCGCAGGUUCGAACUCUGCUGUUGACG